GGAGUCUGCACAGACAUUACUAGACUGUCUAUUAAUUAGUCUGGUGUAUCUAUUAUAUCUGUUACCUUUUAUGUUAUUUAUAGCUAAAUUGCUUAAAUAUUUUGUACAGAUAAAUUUAUAAAUAUACUGAGUUUAUCUAAGCUAGAGAUUUAGGUUAUUUGUAUUACUAUUGUAAGUUUUUUGUUAAUCAGUCGUUAGGUUUCCUAUUUUAUCAUAUAUCCCCUCUGGUUUAAUCUCUGACACUUGUCCAGCGCUCCACUCCCUAAAUAUUUUCUAUUUAUUUAAGACGCUUCUGACGUUGUUUGUUGUUCAGGAGCGGCUUGACAAGAGGAAUACGACAUCUGAAGCCCAUGUCCAGGAUCCGUCUGUGUGUGGUGGCUCUUGAUGCACUGACUCCAGCCUCAGUCCCAUACUUUUGAAUGGCCUUUUCCUGACAAUCCUCUCCAGGCUGCGGUCAUCCCUGCUGCUUGUGCACCUUUUUUUUCCACACUUUCCCCUUUCACAUAACUUUCUAUUAAUGUGCUUUGAUACAGCACUUUGGGAACAUCCAACUUCCUUCGCAAUUAUCUUUUGAGGCUUUCCCUCCUUAUGGAGGGUGUCAAUGAUGGUUUUCUGCACAACUGUCAGGUCAGCAGUCUUCCCCAUGAUUGUGAUUCCUGCUGAACCAGACUGAGAGACCAUUUAAAGGCUCAGGAACCCUUAGCAUGUGUUAUGGCUUACUUAGCUGAUUAGAGUGGGACACUGUGAGACUAGAAUAUUGCACCUUUUCACAAUAUUCUAAUUUACUGAGAUUGUGGAUUUGGGGUUUUCAUGAGCUGUAAACCAUAAUCAUCGCACUUAUGACAAAUCACGGCUUUUAAACUUUUUAACACUUAAUAAUCUUUGUGUCCUACAGGCCUUGCAUUAUUACACGAACUAAAACCUCUCCUUCCAUCUGUUGAAAUGUUUUUGUGUAACAUUGGGUAGUUUUUAAAGCAUAGCUGGGGACUAAUAUAUUUUUCAAAUUUCUUGCUUUUUUAAAAAAUCAUGGGAACUUAUUUUGGGGUGUACCUUCCCCAAAACUCGGUCCUUUAACAAGAUGUCCUAAUGUUUUUUUAGGAUUUUCCUUAUUUCCUGGUGCUGUGUAUUAAAU